GAUGAACGCUGGCGGCGUGCCUAACACAUGCAAGUCGAGCGCUGGACAUUUGAAUGCUUGCAUUCAAAUGUUUGGAGCGGCGGACGGGUGAGUAACGCGUGGGUAACCUGGCCUUUACAGAGGAAUAACAAUCAGAAAUGGUUGCUAAUGCCUCAUAAGCUCCCGGUAUCGCAUGAUACAGAGAGAAAAGAUUUAUCGGUAAGGGAUGGACCCGCGUCUGAUUAGCUAGUUGGUAGGGUAAAGGCCUACCAAGGCGACGAUCAGUAGCCGGCCUGAGAGGGUGAACGGCCACAUUGGGACUGAGACACGGCCCAAACUCCUACGGGAGGCAGCAGUGGGGAAUAUUGCACAAUGGGGGAAACCCUGAUGCAGCAACGCCGCGUGAAGGAAGAAGGCUUUCGGGUCGUAAACUUCUUUAGAUGGUGAAGAAAAAAAUGACGGUAGCCAUAGAAUAAGCCCCGGCUAACUACGUGCCAGCAGCCGCGGUAA
rnacentral:rRNA from 1 species